GCCUCCCUCCCGGCGCGCGCCCCCGCCCUCCGCGGGGUCACGUGAUGUUUUCGCCGUGGUGCCGCCGAGGCUGCCUGUGUGAGUGCGAGUAGCCGGACGCGGCGCGGCGCGGCCGGCGGGCGGGAGGGCGCGGACGGGGGCGGCGGGCGCGCCGCACCGCACCGCACCGCGCAUCCCGCUCCGCACCGCGGGCGGGCGGGCGGGCGGGCAGGCAGCCGCCGCCGGGCCCCUCGGCGCCGCCCGGCUCCCCAUGCGCAGCCCGGCGCGGCGGGCGCUUCCCCGGUGAGGGCGGAUUCGCGCUGCCCACGCCGUCCCCUCCGCGGCGCUCCGGACCCUGCCUGGCCCCUAAGAUGGCGAGCGGGAUGAAUGGCCCGGGCGGCGGCGGCGCGGCGGCGGCCGGGGGCGGCGAGGAGGAGCCGGGCGCCCGCCGCCCGGGAGGCGGAGCCGUGCCCCAGCAGGAGCCCGGCGUGCCCGGCGCGGCGGCGGCCGGCGAGGGGGAGCCGGCGGCGGGCGAGGGCGGCCGCUGCCCGUCCCCGCAGCCCCACCACCUGCUGCUGCUGCUGCGGCGCUCGCCCAGCGCCUCGCUGUGCCCGGGCCCGGAGGCCGCCCGCGCCGCCCCCGCCGCGGCCCGCGCCGGCCCGCCGCCCCCCGCCGCCCGCCCCGGCCCGCCGCCCGCCGGCGACGACGUGCGCAAGUGCGGCUACCUGCGGAAGCAGAAGCACGGCCACAAGCGCUACUUCGUGCUGCGGGCCGAGAGCCACCUGGCCCCCGCCCGCCUCGAGUACUACGACAGCGAGAAGAAGUUCAAGAGCAGCCUGCGGGCCGCGGGCGCCGGCGGGGCCGCCCCGCUCUGCUGCCCCCCGCCCAAGCGCGUCAUCCCCCUCUACCAGUGCUUCACCGUCAGCCGGCGGGCCGACGCCAAGCACAAGCACAUCAUCGCCCUGUACACCAAGGACGAGUACUUCGCCAUGCUGGCCGAGAACGAGGCCGAGCAGGAGGCCUGGUACCAAGCCAUCAGCGAGCUCAUGAGCCAGAGCAAGAGGGGCUUCCUGGAGCAGGAGGACCACGCGGAUCAGCAGGCGGAUGAGGACGAUGAGCACUACGGCGCCACGCUGAGACCCGGCACCGUCUUCAAGGAGGUGUGGCAGGUCAACGUGAAGCCCAAAGGCCUGGGGCAGACCAAGAACCUUACCGGGGUGUACAGGUUGUGCCUCUCCAGCAAGGCCAUCCACCUCGUCAAGCUGAACUCGGAGGUGCCCUCUGUCCACUUGCAGCUGAUGAAUAUCCGCCGCUGCGGCCACUCGGAGAACUUCUUUUUCAUCGAAGUGGGCAGAUCUGCGUCCAUUGGACCUGGAGAGCUCUGGAUGCAAGUGGAUGAUUCGGUGGUCGCCCAGAACAUGCAUGAGACUUUUCUGGAGACCAUGAAAGCGCUAAAGGCCUUUGCAGAGUUCAGGCCCAGAAGCAAGAGCCAGUCUUCUGGUGGUGGUAGUGGUACCAAUCCUAUUUCUUUCAUCACCACUAGGAGGCACUUGGGCAACCUGCCCCCCAGCCAGACGGGCUUGCAGAGGAGAUCUAGAACUGAGAGCGUCACUGGAGGGACUCCACCUACCACCAAAAGCAGCAGCUCCUAUCGCUUCAGAACGUCCAGCGAAGGAGAAGGAACGAUGACGAGACCUUUCAGGUCAGUGACUGGGAGUCUGAUCCAUCUGAAUACUGCAAGGAUGAAUCUGGGCCGGCAAGAAGGGAGCGGAAGGUAUGUGAGAGCAGCUUUCAGCUCUUCUUAUCACACCCGGUCUGCUUCGCUGCCAGUGUCACAUUUUCCCUCUACUACGAGUCCCAUCAGUGUUUCUUCCAGUAGUGGCCAUGGCUCUGCUUCAGACAUGUUGACCAGGCCUUCUAGCUCAUCUGUUUGUGGCUCCCCAAGUGAUGGGGGAUUUAUCUCUUCGGAUGAAUAUGGCUCUAGCCCUGGAGAUUUCAGGUACUUUCGGGUCAGGAGUAAUACACCGGAUUCCCUGGGAAACACACCGCCUAUCAGAGAAGAGAACUGUUUGAGUGAGUACAUGUCCAUGAGUAAGCAGCAAGCAGAUGAUAGUUCAAGAGAUGAUUAUAUGGAGGCUGAGAAGUAUUUCAGGAAAAGAACUUACUCUUUAACUAAACCAACUUCUGUAGCAGUGCAGCAGAAAACAACACAGACUACCGCUUCGUUAGAUGAGGAUUCUGCUGGAAAUCAUGGACGAUUACUUUACUCUGAGUCACCAAAAUUGAAAGAUAACCAUGAAUCUGACUACAGUGACACUAACCUUGAUUCUGUAUGUAACCAAAGCAGGAGUAAAGCCAGGGAUGAUGGGUAUAUGCCAAUGAUGCCCGGAGUUGCAUCUUCUCUAUCAAGCAACGCUGAUUAUUUGCCAAUGACUGCUAAAAGUGUGUCUGUUCCAAAACAGAUUAACAAUUCGUGGUCGCCGUCUCAGGUUGACUCCAGAGGAUAUAUGAUGAUGUUUCCGAAGGCUAGCUCUUCACCUGUCCGAAGUCCUUUAACUGGAUUUAUAUCUAAAGGAAGUAAUGAGAAGAUUAUAAACAAUGAGUAUAUGGAUAUGUCACCUGGUAAUUCGGCUCCAAAGCACCCCGGUGAUUCAAAUUAUAUUCAUACCACUUCUGUUUCCAAAGGUUUCAGUUCAUAUUUUUCUUUGCCCCGAAGCUUUAAGGCAUUAUCAGGACAGAAUGGUGACCACAGUGAGUAUGUUCCAAUGUCUUCACCUGGAAAACUUUUAUAUGGCGGACCAGAAAACGUAAAAGGUGUCAACAAUGAAGCUCUGGCUAAUGGCAUCUCUAAAUCGCCUGUUGUGAAAGGUUCAGAUGAAGGACUUACUCAGAACAGGGCUACUAGGCCUACAAGACUCCCCUUAGGUACGAGAGGAAGUAAUACUAUCCCACGAAUGUACGAUCGUACGGUUCCACCUGAGCCAGCUAGUCCUGGUGAAUAUAUAAAUAUUGAUUUUAAUGAGAAGGCAAGUAAUACACCGUAUUCCUUAUCUGCAGAAGGAUCACCAUCAUCUCUAGGCUCGAGCAGUGAUCACAGACAGUCCCCGCUUUCUGAUUAUAUGAGCGUUGAUUUGGAUGUACAGUCGCCAAAAGCAGCAAAGGAACUGUCCAACUCUUUAACAGAUAUUACAAUUUAUGCAAGUUCCAGUAUUCCUGGAAACCAACCGAAUGCUGACUAUGCUAGGCUUUCCUUUGGUACCGCUUGUGUCAGCGCUGCAAGUAACAGGACUGAUGAUUACACGGAGAUGACGUUCAACAUGGCGACAACGCCACCUCGGCCGUUUGCCUCUGAAUCCGACAACGGUGUAAAGAUAGACAGUCCUUCUUCCAUAGUUAAUAGACUGUGCAUCGUUGAUCGAUAUGCUGGUAGCAGUAGCUUCUCUGUUCCUAGCUCCGAUCCUCCUAUGGGACCCAAAGUGAUUCGAGCUGAUCCUCAAGGCAGAAGGAGACACAGUUCUGAGACGUUCUCUUCUGCUGGGACUGUGACUACUUCCUCCUCUUUCUUUACCGAUAGUAGCAAAAGACACAGCUCUGCCUCAUUUGACAAUGUUUGGUUAAAACCGGAUGAAAACAUUUCUGAUGGUCAGGAAAGCAAAAUGUCCAGGGAUACCUCAACUGGAUUUCAGAAUGGCUUAAACUACAUAGCCCUGAAUUUACGUGAUGAUCCUAUAAGCUGUGAGGCAAGUACUGCUACACCAACUUGCCAUCUCCAAAAUGGUACUUCGAGUUUGGACAGUGGAGCUUACGUAAGCAUAGAUUUCACCAGGUCCGAGGGUCUGAAGUGUAACGCUGCAAGAAAAGGAGUUGCGGCUUCCUUCUUCCAUGUAACGGCAGGAGCCGGAUCCCUGCAGACCUGUAUGUCACAGCUUGGAGGGGAGGUAGAUGAUCUGACUGUAGAGUGACCAAAACCAAGCAACUGGCAGAAAAUGGUGCCCUCAGUCCUCACCUUGAGGACAAAAAUGGAAGGUUUUGCAAGCGCUGUCUCUAGCUGUAGCGGGAAGACUCAGGAGCUGUCACAGCGCUAGGAGGACUGGGGACGUUGGCAGAGCAGACCUGCUGUAGACCGUGUGCUUCGUGGAGACUGACUGCAUUGCCAUGGAAACCAUUGUUGGAAGAGAAGACUUUUCUGCUGGUAACUCCAGAAACUGUGUGGUGCUUUUGGAAGCAAAGCUCAGCUCCAGCCGGCUACUUUCAUUUCCACCAGCACGGACAUAGCCACACAUCCUUUUAAUUUUUUCAUAGACAUCAGCUCUUUACAGUCGAAUUAAUUUGAACUGAGAUUUUCUCAUAGCUGUGCUUUGGUGAUGGAAUUUGGUCUUUCCUGCCAUACCUAUCGGGAGGCAGUGUUCGUGCUGCCGGGAGGUUCCUGUACGCCCCCUCCCUCCCUCCUGCCUCUCCCCUUUAUUUGGCUUUUAUUUAUAUUCUGAGAAGUCAAAGCUGGUUUCUGAUUGUCUGUUUAACAUGGGUUUUGCUUCUCUGGUACAUUAACAAGUGAUUAGCGUAAAACAUGUAUUGUUUAGAAAUAUUUUGGCAGUUCAAGAUUUUUUCUUUUUCUUUCUCCAGGAGGCUGGGUGGAAGGAGGGAGGGAGAGGUGCACACGAGCUCGAGGGGAGAUCCCGUGGGACUGAACUGGUCUGUGAAGGAGAGACCUCUUCUGCCUUUUUUCUUUUUUCUUUUUUUUUUUUUUUGUUUUGCGUUUAUGGUGCAAGAGGUAUUUCUUGAUCAUAGGCUAGAGUAUUUUAAAUCAAAUGUCUGUCAGAGCUUAAACUGAAUUUUUUGCUCAGAAUUUUGGUGUGUACAAAGUAGGAUUAAUGGGCUGGUUGUCUUGUAGAUUGUUUUUGUUCUUACCCUCAAGUUACUUGUUUAUAAAUAUGAAUUGUGUAAACUGAGGUUUUUGUUCAUGAAUUCAAAUGGAGAAGUGCAGAGUCUUAUCCAACUUCUGUAACUUCGGCAUUAUAUUUGUCAGCGGUAGCUUUUUAAAGAGAAACCACCCUAAUUGAUCUUACUUUUGACCAAAGUCCCGUUUUUAAUUUGGGACUAUUUUUUUUUUUUUCCUUCCUGGCGUAAUGGGAAAAAGUAAAAAGUCAGCUCAUCAACUGUCCUUAUCCUGCCUAAAGAAAUGAGAACAAUGGCUAUUUGACACUUUUUAAAUAAAUUGUAGAAAAAUCAGGGCUUAAGUGCUUCACUCUUGUACUGAUUUUUUUUUAGGGGUUGAAAUGAGUUUAGGCUUUUAACACUGCUAUGAACUUUAAGAGCGUGACUCUAGUUGUUGGUACAUGCGAUGUAUAAUACAAGGCACUGACGAUUGAUAAAGGGUUUCGAAGUGGUACGCGAAUCCUCAUGCUGUACUGCACCACACAGCUGGUAAUCCUCUUCAUUGUAUAUUGUACAACCGUUUCGUAGGGCUGCCUCACCUCCAACAUACAACCUUUAAGAGACUAGUACAGUUUGUAUAACAAAUUAGACACUGUCAACUUUGAUGUUUGGUGAUGUGUACCCAAAUCUAUUUUUGAGUAGUAUUAAAACGUACAUGUCACUGAAAUAUGAAGACCUUUUUGGAAACAUAGUUGGUACCAAUCUGUUUAUGCAGUGUCUUAGUGACAGGGGAAAACCUGUUGCUGCAGGGUUUAAAAGCACAGAUCUGUUUUUGAUUCUGGAAGAAAAGUUUAAGUUGGUACAGUUACUUGUUGCUGCUAAACGUACACUAAUUAAAAAUAUGACCACUUUUAUAGACCAUGAUACUGUCUUGCCAUAUAGCUUUUGUUUGGUCUGGUAAAUUAAUAAUGCAAUAUGUAGACAGCUUUUUUUAAAGCUUUACAUCUUUUUUAAGAAAUCAAAAUUUGGAUGAAGAUAGCUCUAAACAUUUAAUGUGGAAGGAAAAGGUUGUUUUGAAGAAAAUUAUGGUGUUACAGACAUAUUUCGUAUUAGAUCCCUGAGGCUGCCAUUGUACAAUAUACAGCACUGAUUUAUUAAAUGCUGAAUAAAUAAGUAAAUGGGUAACCUCAAGUAUAGUGGUACAGAUACUAACAGGUACGGCAUAAUAAAUAUGCAAUCUUUUUGAAUUUCUUAGUUUACAGCAACUAAUUUAUUCAGUAUUGUGCUGGAAGAACAUUUUCAGAAUAUGUAAAACAUAUCACUAUAUAUACUACCUUCCAGCUACCCGUUUAUGCUGCUGUAUAGUACAAAAAUACCAAUGAUGGAACAAUGUUUGUCCUGUAAAUUUAAUUUGAUAUUGGACAGUUAUUGUCUGUACAAACUAAAACAUAUAUGGUUGAAACUGUUCAUUAUAUUUGCUAUUUCUGCUUCACAGAUCUGUUUUAAAGUUGAGCUGAUUGAUCUGGCUUUGUCUUCCAUUGUAAAUAUUGUUACAUUGUUUUCUUUGUAAAACACAUCGCGUUUGCGGUUUUGGGAGACUGGCUUGAAGCUCUGUAUAGUGUUUAUAUUUAUCUGACUUGGCUUUCCAUAGAGCUACUUGCAGUAAAUACGUGUUCAUGUA